rnacentral:tRNA from 1 species
AAUGAAGUGCCUGAUAAAAGGAUUAUUUUGAUAGAAUAAAUUAUGUAAUAUAUUUACAUUCAUUA